GGGAGCGGCUGAGUCCCGGUGGGCUCCACGGACUUCAAAUCCGCUGGGGGGCAUGAAUAUGUCUCAGGUGGGUUCGACCCCCAUACGCUCCCGCCA
rnacentral:tRNA from 1 species